UUUUAUUAGAAUUAAUUAAUAAUAAANCCUGCUCAAUGAAANUUAAAUAGCCGCUUUUGUGCUAAGGUAGCAUAAUAAUUUGUCUUUUAAUUAAAGACUAGAACAAAAGGUUUAACAUCUCAAUUAAUAUUUUNUNAAAAACUNUUUAAAUUAUUUUAAUUGUAAAAAAACAAUUUUAAAAAAGAAAGACGAUAAGACCCUAUCGAACUUUACUUUAGUUUAACUGGGGAAGUUAAUUAAUUAUUAUUUUAAUNNNNNNAAANAUACAAUUUGACCUAAUACUAUUAACAANAUAAUNAAGUUACCGUAGGGAUAACAGCGUAAUAAAAUUUUUAAGAUCUUAUUUAAAAUAAAGAUUGCGACCUCGAUGUUGAUUUAAUAACCUAAUUUACGCAAUAGUUGAUUAAGGAAGUCUGUUCGACUUUUAAAAAAUUACA
rnacentral:rRNA from 1 species